AGAGAUAUAGCUCAGUUGGUAGAGUAUUUGCCUCACAGGCACAAGGCCCUGGGUUCAAUCCCCAGCACCACAC
rnacentral:tRNA from 1 species